GAUGAACGCUAGCGGCAGGCCUAAUACAUGCAAGUCGAACGGUAAAUAUUUAGCAAUAGAUAUGAGAGUGACGUACGGGUGCGUAACACGUAUGCAACCUACCCUUUACAGGCGGAUAGCUCGGGGAAACUCGAAUUAACCCGCCGUAAUAUAAUUGAAAGGCAUCUUUUGAUUAUUAAAUCUACGGAGGUAAAGGAUGGGCAUGCGUCUGAUUAGUUAGUUGGCGGGGUAACGGCCCACCAAGACGAUGAUCAGUAGGGGAACUGAGAGGUUGAUCCCCCCACACUGGCACUGAGAUACGGGCCAGACUCCUACGGGAGGCAGCAGUAGGGAAUAUUGGUCAAUGGAUGGAAGUCUGAACCAGCCAUGCCGCGUGCAGGAAGAAGGCCUUCUGGGUUGUAAACUGCUUUUGCCAGGGGAUAAAAUGACCUUGCGAGGUUAAUUGAAGGUACCUGGUGAAUAAGCCACGGCUAACUACGUGCCAGCAGCCGCGGUAAU
rnacentral:rRNA from 1 species